CCUUCGAUAGCUCAAUUGGUAGAGCGGGGGACUGUAGAUCCCUAGGUCACUGGUUCAAAUCCGGUUCGAAGAA
rnacentral:tRNA from 1 species